rnacentral:rRNA from 1 species
GUCGAGAAUCUUCCGCAAUGCGCGAAAGCGUGACGGAGCGACACCGCGUGAUGGAUGAAGUCCUUCGGGGCGUAAACAUCUUUUAUAAAGGAGGAAAUUUUUGACGUUACUUUAUGAAUAAGGGGCUCCCAAUCUCGUGCCAGCAGGAGCGGUAAUACGAGAGCCUCAAGCGUUAUCUGGAAUCAUUGGGCGUAAAGGGUGCGUAGGUGGUUUGAUUAGUCUCCCGUUAAAACGUCGAGCUUAACUCGAAAAGAGCGGGGGAAACGGUCAAACUAGAGUAUGUGAGAGGUGUGUGGAACUCAUGGUGUAGGGGUGAAAUCCGUUGAUAUCAUGGGGAACACCAAAAGCGAAGGCAGCACACUGGCACAUCACUGACACUGAGGCACGAAACCUAAGGUAGCGAAUGGGAUUAGAUACCCUGGUAGUCC